AUUUAUGCUCAUUGAUUGACUUAUGGCUCAGUUUUUUAUUCUAUUUUCGCAGUUACUAGUGAUAUUUCAAGCGGAUCCAAACACUUUCGUAAUAAACUGUCAACAGUCAAUAACCAAUGCUCCAACUUCUUUAGCGUGGCCUUUUAAGGUGAAUGUAAAUGCGAGAGAUGGCGUUGACAAGCUGAUGGAAAGAGAUUUUUCCGAAUAUCCAGGUCACAAAGUUGAAUUUCCAAGUGUCCCAAAAUCUCAAGAAUUUUCAAACUCCUUAGAUAUUGGCAAAAACAUACUUGCCCAAAAUGAUGGAAUUGUCCAGAGGAUCGGAGAUUCAAGAACAAACAAUGGCUUAUUCCCACACCUUGAGAAAGGCGCGCACGGAAACCAGGACCAGAAACUGACGAUUCGCACGGUGCCCUCCGCAAAUGUCCAAGAGCUUGACCGGAAGAAAUCUCGGUUGACUCGCUGGUUUAGCAGAAAGCCAAGUAAAUCAAAACUCAAGAGAAAAGCUCCGCCCUCGCCUCAUAUUUGUCAGCAAUUCUUAAAAAAAUCACCGUGCGGGAAGCACAUUUGUCCUUGUCACCGACAACCUUCACCUAAGAAAUCAUCAAAGUUGACUUGCUUUACCUCUUUCCUAACCCGAACCAAAGCCAAGGGUUUACCCCAAGAUUACGCAACAAACUCAAAACCAACGCAAAACCACCCGCGGUCCCCAGAAAAUCGGAGACCCCGUCCGAGUCCCUCCGAUGAUCCUGAUUAUAAACACCGCCGAGGUAGUAGGAGUCCCCCCCUCGGUCCUCCACUCCGCUCUGACCCCCAUUACCACCCACGCCCCCAUCCCGACAAUCGCCCCCACCACGAAAAUUACCCUCCACCUCCACCCACUAUCCACCGCGUAUGGAACACCGCGAUAGAUAUGAUAGGAUCGCCGAAAUGCUGCGGGAUCGUCCGCGGAAUCGUCCGUAUAAUCAUGGCGGUAAUCAGCGUUAUGGUGGUAAUCAGUAUUAUGGUGGUAAUCAUUAUUAUGGUGGUUAUUAUGGUAGUAGCAGUGACGAUGAGCGUUGGGGUACGGGAUUGGGUGACGCAGGAGGGAGUGACACAGGAGGGGGUGGGGUUAUUACUGAUCCCAACGCGGCGCCGGGAGACCAGAGCUGGUUGCAGUCGCUUUGCUGUUGUUGUGGGGGUGACAAUAAUGGUGAUGGUGGUGGUGGAGGAGAUCCAUGCGGGGGUAUGUGGGAUUCGAUUUCUGGGUGCUUCUCUAGUUGUUGUUCCGCAAUUGGUGAUAACAUUCCGGAUUGUGGCGAGUGUUGUGAUGAGGAAUGUGGGAAGUGGCUCGGCGAGUGCUGUCUUGCCAUACUUAGCGCACCCUGUGCCUGUCCCGAUGUUUAGGUACGGUCCGGACGAUUUUAUCAUCGAUUUUCUUGGGAAUGAUGUAGUUUAUGGAAAAAAGUCGUUCUAUAUAAAAAGUUCAAACUUAUACCAUGAGUUGAUUUAA
rnacentral:lncRNA from 1 species